rnacentral:rRNA from 1 species
AACUAGAGAUCACGGUAAAAUUUUAAGGGUCGAACAGACCCACCUGUUAAGCUUCUACACCCCCAGUAAAAUUUAAUCCAACAUCGAGGUCGCAAUCUUCUCCAUCAAUAAGAACUUUCAGGAAAAAUUACGCUGUUAUCCCUAAGGUAAUUUAAUCUUAUAAUCCAAACAAAAGGAUCAAACACUGGUAAACCAACGUUAAAAUAAUAAAAAGUUUCACAAAUUUUCACAUCACCCCAACAAAAUAGCAAAAACCCCCUACCAAAAAAAAUCCUCCAACAACCAAGAUUCCCUGCCAUAAAACUCUAUAGGGUCUUCUCGUCUUUUUACCAAAUCUAAGCUUUUUCACUCAAAAAUAAAAUUCUAAAAAAUCAGAUAGAGACAGCUUAUUCCUCAUCAAACCUUUCAUUCCAGCUCCCAAUUAAGAAACUAAUGAUUAUGCUACCUUUGCACAGUCAAAAUACUGCGGCCAUUUAAAAAUCAUUGGGCAGGCCCGACCUUAAAUUAAACC